AACCUGGUUGAUCCUGCCAGUCUACAAAGCUUGACUUGGAAAUUAAGCCAUGCAUGUCUAAGUAUAAGUUACACAAAGCGAAACUGCGAAUGGCUCAUUACAACAGUUGUAAUUUAUUUGAUGAUUUUUUUACAUGGAUAACCGUGGGAAACUAGGGCUAAUACAUGCGUAAAGCUUUCGGGCUGUAUUUAUUAGUUUCAGACCAAUGCGGCUCAAACCGCUUUGUGAGGAAUCAAGAUAACUGAUCGAAGCCAAUCUUUUGGCUAAAUCAUUCGAGCUUCUGACCUAUCAGCUUGUUGUUAGUGUAUUGGACUAACAAGGCGGUAACAGGUAACGGAGAAUUGGGGUUCGAUUCCGGAGAGUCAGCCUGAGAAACGGCUGACAUUUCUACGGAAGGCAGCAGGCGUGAAAAUUACCCAAUCACAAUUCGUGGAGGUAGUUAAUAGACAUAACAGUUCCGGCCUUUUAGGUUUGGAAAUGUAAUGAACUCAGUCUAGACAGCUGGGUGAAAUCCAUUGGAGGGCAAGUCUGGUAAACAAUUGGUCAGCCAGAUGUCACGGGGUCUCGGCCCCGGUGGCAGAAAGUCAGAGAUGAGUACUGACUGUACAUUCGUAACAUGCGGGAAACUCCUAAAGCUUUGCUCACCGCGACUCGGGGAAACCUGGAGUGCAGCAGGCGGUCUAACAGCCGUCGGAUGGUAACAGCAGCAAAGAUGAGGCCGGGAUUCGCCCUCCUGGCCGACGAAAUGGACAAUCCGCAGCCAAGCUUCUCUCGAGAAGAAGGCUCAGAGACUACAAUCGAAUGGGGAGUUCGCUUCUUAAGGUAUAGUCCACGCCCACCCGAAAGGGUGUUUGCAAGUUAUUAAGGAGACUCACUCCCUAGGGCUUGCAGAGUCCGAUUCUCACGAGAAGGACGUCGGGCCGAAAUCCCCGACGCAGGACGGUGUCCCGGGCCAGCAGCCGCGGUAAUUCCAGCUCCAAUAGCUUUGUUGAAAGUUGCUGCAGUUAAAAAGCUCGUAGUUGAAUAUCCGGCGUCGCUGACGUCUGCCCGACUCGGCUGUAGAUGUUGAGAAACUUUUACUGUUCGAUCAGGCGUUUACUGUGAACAAAUUAGAGUGCUCAAAACAGGCUUUUGCUUGAAUUUUUUAGCAUGGAAUAAUAAAAUACGACUUCGCUCAUUUUAUUGGUUCUUGAACGAAGUAAUGGUUAACAGGAACAGUUGGGGGCAUUCGUACUUAAAAGUCAGAGGUGAAAUUCUUAGAUUUUUUAAAGACGAACUAAUGCGAAGGCAUUUGCCAAGGAUGUUUUCAUUAAUCAAGAACGAAAGCGUUGGGAUCAAAAAGGAUCAGAUACCCUUGUAGUCAACGCCGUAAACGAUACUGACUAGGGAUUGGUGAGGCGAACCCUCAUCAGCACCUAAUGAGAAAUCAAAGUCUUUGAGUUCUGGGGAGAGUAUGGUCGCAAGGCUGAAACUUAAAGGAAUUGACGGAAAGAUACACAAGUCGUGGAUUCUGCGGCUUAAUUUGAUUCAACACGGGAAAACUUACGCAGGCAAAAAGCUAGUAGGAUUGACAGCUUGAUAGCACUUUCUUGAUUUGGCAGCGAGUGGUGCAUGGCCGUUCUUAGUUGGUGGAGUGAUUUGUCAGGUUAAUUCCCUUAACGAACGAGAUCUUCACUUGCUAACUAGUCGUGACUAAAACCUAGUCAUUGACUUCUUAGAAGGACUACGGUUCCAAAACCGUGGAAGUUGGAGGCAAUAACAGGUCCGUGAUGCCCUCAGAUGUUUGCGGCCGCACGCGUAAUACCAUGAUUGGCACAAUAAGUCUACCUAAUCCGAAAGGAGCUGGGUAACCUUCAUAAUGCCAAUCGUGCUUGGGAUAGAACCUUGCAAUUUUGGUUCUUGAACGAGGAAUGACUAGUAAGCUGAAGUCACUAACCUCAGCUGAUUACUGUCCCUAUCUUUUGUACACACCGCCCGCCGCUCCCAUCGAUUGAGUGUGCCGACGAGUUCUCCGGAUUGCGUCCUUUGGUACGCGAGAAGUUGUGCUAGUUGAUACACUUAGAGAAGGGAUAAGGCGUAACAAGGUUUCUGUAGGUGAACCUGCAGAAGGAUCAA
rnacentral:rRNA from 1 species